UACCAAGGCUACGACGGGUAGCUGGUCUAAGAGGAUGGCCAGCCACGACUGGAACUGAGACACGGUCCAGACUCCUACGGGAGGCAGCAGUGGGGAAUCUUGCGCAAUGGGCGAAAGCCUGACGCAGCGACGCCGCGUGGGUGACGAAGGCCUUCGGGUUGUAAAGCCCUGUGGGGUAGAACGAACUGGCAUCGGGCUAAUAUCCCGGUGUCUUGACGGUACUGCCUUAGCAAGCAUCGGCUAACUCUGUGCCAGCAGCCGCGGUAAGACAGAGGAUGCGAACGUUAAUCGGAAUUACUGGGCGUAAAGGGUGCGUAGGUGGUUUUUAAGUCAGAUGUGAAAUCCCUGGGCUCAACCUAGGAAUUGCAUUUGAUACUGAAUAACUUGAGUAUGGUAGAGGGAAGUGGAAUUUCCAGUGUAGCGGUGAAAUGCGUAGAUAUUGGAAGGAACAUCAGUGGCGAAGGCGACUUCCUGGACCAUUACUGACACUGAGGCAC
rnacentral:rRNA from 1 species